GAUGAACGCUAGCGGCAGGCUUAAUACAUGCAAGUCGAGGGGCAGCAUGAUUGUAGCAAUACAAUUGAUGGCGACCGGCAAACGGGUGCGGAACACGUACACAACCUUCCAACAAGUGGGGGAUAGCCCAGAGAAAUUUGGAUUAAUACCCCGUAACAUAGCGAUGUGGCAUCACAUUGCUAUUAUAGAUUUUUCGCUUGUUGAUGGGUGUGCGGCUGAUUAGAUAGUUGGCGGGGUAACGGCCCACCAAGUCUACGAUCAGUAGCUGAUGUGAGAGCAUGAUCAGCCACCCGGGCACUGAGACACGGGCCCGACUCCUACGGGAGGCAGCAGUAAGGAAUAUUGGACAAUGGACGCAAGUCUGAUCCAGCCAUGCCGCGUGUAGGAUUAAGGUCCUCUGGAUUGUAAACUUCUCUUAUAAGGGACGAAAAAAGGCUUUUCUAAGUCGUCUGACGGUACCUUAUGAAUAAGCACCGGCUAACUCCGUGCCAGCCACCGCUGUAACAC
rnacentral:rRNA from 1 species